rnacentral:rRNA from 1 species
CAGUCGACGGCAGCACGGGUGCUUGCACCUGGUGGCGAGUGGCGAACGGGUGAGUAAUACAUCGGAACAUGUCCUGUAGUGGGGGAUAGCCCGGCGAAAGCCGGAUUAAUACCGCAUACGAUCUACGGAUGAAAGCGGGGGACCUUCGGGCCUCGCGCUAUAGGGUUGGCCGAUGGCUGAUUAGCUAGUUGGUGGGGUAAAGGCCUACCAAGGCGACGAUCAGUAGCUGGUCUGAGAGGACGACCAGCCACACUGGGACUGAGACACGGCCCAGACUCCUACGGGAGGCAGCAGUGGGGAAUUUUGGACAAUGGGCGAAAGCCUGAUCCAGCAAUGCCGCGUGUGUGAAGAAGGCCUUCGGGUUGUAAAGCACUUUUGUCCGGAAAGAAAUCCUUGGCUCUAAUACAGUCGGGGGAUGACGGUACCGGAAGAAUAAGCACCGGCUAACUACGUGCCAGCAGCCGCGGUAAUACGUAGGGUGCGAGCGUUAAUCGGAAUUACUGGGCGUAAAGCGUGCGCAGGCGGUUUGCUAAGACCGAUGUGAAAUCCCCGGGCUCAACCUGGGAACUGCAUUGGUGACUGGCAGGCUAGAGUAUGGCAGAGGGGGGUAGAAUUCCACGUGUAGCAGUGAAAUGCGUAGAGAUGUGGAGGAAUACCGAUGGCGAAGGCAGCCCCCUGGGCCAAUACUGACGCUCAUGCACGAAAGCGUGGGGGAGCAAACAGGAUUAAUACCCUGGUAGUCCACGCCCUAAACGAUGUCAACUAGUUGUUGGGGAUUCAUUUCCUUAGUAACGUAGCUAACGCGUGAAGUU